ACACUAUAUGUAUAGUCAAGGUUCAGUGAGUGGUAGCACAUAGAAGAAAGCAAUAAACUCUUCCCAGGGAGGCCAGGGAAGGUCUGACACCUUCUCUCAGAGGAGUUACUGAUUGAGCUGGAUUUUAAAGAAGAAAGAAUUUUCCAGGGAAAAACCCGAUUGCAAGUGGAGCAUUUAGUCUAAAAGAAGAAGAGAGACAUCCUGUGAGACAGAGUUGAUCAGGUGAUCAAUUGUGGAUGGCUAAUGCUGAUUGAUUGACACGCUGGAGAAGCUGAAGUCAUGAAGACUUUUUUUUCUUUUUCACUCCUUUCUGUUUUCUUAUUAACCUUCUUUUCCUGAAAAUGCCAUGUCUUUGGCUGGGAACAGCCAUGUGUUUAGAGUUGAAUUUUAGGAGCACUACUUUUUGUUGAAAAUGCUAUUAUUCCUUUGUAAACUACUGCAGUAUUCAUGUUUGCUUUUUUUGUUUGUGUUUUAAGUUUCAUAGGUGAGGGUCUGUUUUUAUGUCUCUGAACCUCAUGGAAUUUGCCUGUUGCUGAAGAAUCUGAACGUAUCGCAUUAAAAGAUCUCCCAAGAGUCUAAAGAAAUAACUCCCCAUUUCUGACUGACCUGCAUCUCAGUGAGAACCCCCCUGUCACCCCCACUGGCUAGAGCCAAGCAGAGUGAGAAGUUAGGGAAGAAGAGAUGCUUUGGCACUCAAGGGGAUAAGGGGGGCAAAAUAGUUUUGUUAGGAUUUAGCUUCUACGUUGGGACGAGGAAUUAAUUCGUAAGAGUUGAGGGUUUCAAUGUUAAAUUGUAUACGUGAUAGCAAAUUUCAUGAAUUUCACUUAAUUCAUUAAACAAAUAGUUAUUAUUGAGUAUGUGUUAUAAACUAGACUUAUAUGUUAAUAUCUGGUGCACACAUUAUAAGCUGACUUGGUGAGUUUGGUUAGAUAACAGGAAAGAGCCUAAUUUGGGAUACAAAUUAUGUCGAGUAACUUCUUUGCCCUGCAUAUAGUGUGGCCUUUGGGUAAACUCAAUUGAAAUAAAAUCCAGAUAUUUCUGCAGUUCAGCGGGUAACAUCAAAGAGAUUUUCAUGAAAGGACUUGAUUGCCCAACUGUUCAUCUCGUUGGUCCCAGGUGAGACAAAUGAGUACUGGCAAAGAUCGAGAAGGUGGCCUCACAAAAGUACAGGCUUUUCUGAUACUCUCCUGAUUUCCUCCCUUGUGAGGGACAGCUAGCUUCCUGGUUACCUGAAAGACCACUGGGUGAAGGACAGUGCUUGAGGGAAUGUUGGCUACACACUAGAGCCUUCAGCUUCAGUCUGCCACCGUCCUAAGUCCCUUUCCAGUCAAGAGUGGGUGAAGAACAAAAUGGAUUCCAAGAACAGAUAUCGUGCUAUGGGUGGCGCUUCUCUUUUGAGGACUAUUGGAUUAAAAAUAGAACUGGACUGGAACAAGCACUAUUGACAAUGCCCCUGGGCUCUUCUCUUCCACUUGGUGUGUUCUUUGCCAGCUUCUCACAGGCAAGUGGAGCCCAGGGGGUUGAAAGUUAGAUCAGCCUCCAGUCUGAACAAAUGGUGUCCUUCAGUUCCCCCAGGAGAUCCCAGCUCACCAAGCUCCACCUUUGUCAGAGGUUUUCUGAUUCUUACUGGUAAUAAAGUGUGCACUUU